rfam:Ixodes scapularis strain Wikel colony gcontig_1108379859148, whole genome shotgun sequence.
AAACCGGCCCUUUUCAGGGCCCCCCAUAUUUUUCAAACGGAGCUG